CUCGAGUUACCGUCUUGCAGCAGCGCCGUCUUCUCUGCCGCCCGCAGACUCUCCAGCCAGCCGGUGACCGCCAUCUUCCCUCCAACGAGCCGCGUACCUGGCCACUGCCAUGGCAACCGUUCCGCCUAGGGACACUUCCGGAUGACCCGGAAGAUAUUCUGGGCAUUGGCCUGUUCCCACCCCGCGAACCCCGCGCCCUCCGUCUGCUCUCAUUGGCUGCUCUGCUGUGAGGCCAAGACUCCCCAGUCCCGGAAGGCGCCCCACACCUGCUGCAGUCGUGCGUCUCCCCGCAGCUGCGGGCCUGCGCGUUCCGGUGCCGAGAGGUCCAAGACCAGAGCAGAAAGGCUAGGGUCCAGCCAUACCUCAAUGGACCCCAAGGGCAUCUUGAAGGCAUUUCCCAAGCGGAAGAAAAUUCACACCAAUCCAUCAUCAAAAACUCUUGCCAAGAUUCCCAAGAGGGAAGACAGAGAAGCAGCAGGAGAGUGGCUGAGCUCCGUGCGGGUGCAUGUUCUGCCCACCGGCAUUGGGAGAGCCCGGGCAGAACUCUUUGAGAAUCAGAUUGUCCAGCAUGGUGGCCAGAUAUGCCCUGCUCAGGCCCCAGGGGUCACUCACAUUGUGGUGGAUGAAGGCAUGGACUGUGAGCGAGCCCUCCGCCUCCUUAGACUGCCCCAGCUGCCCCCAGGUGCUCAGCUGGUGAAGUCAGCCUGGCUGAGCUCGUGCCUACAGGAGAGAAGGCUGGUGGACACAGCAGGAUUCGGCAUCUUCACUCCCAAGAGGUACCUGGAUCAAGCACAGCUCAGCAAGGCAGACCAAGUCUCUUUUACGCCUCCUGGAGCCAGUGAGGCUCAGCCCAGGACAGCCCUGUCUCCUUCCCGACCUCCCACCAGACCUGUAUCUCCUUCCUGGAGGGCAGAUGCGGUUGCAAGCAUCCAAGCCCAGACCAGCUCUGAUGGUGAAAGCAGCGAUGGGGAAGAGACCCAGGUUAGCGCUGCUGAUCUGGAAGCCCUGAUCAGUGGCCGCUACCCCACCCCCUUUGAGGGAGAUGGUGAGCCUAGCCCAGCCCCCAAGGGCCUGGAUAAGUGGGUCUGUGCACAGCCUUCAAGCCAGAAGGCGAUCAACCACAACCCCCAUAUCACAGAGAAGCUGGAAGUACUGGCCAAAGCCUACAGCGUUCAGGGAGACAAGUGGAGGGCCCUGGGCUAUGCCAAGGCCAUCAAUGCCCUGAAGAGCUUCCACAAGCCCGUUACCUCCUACCAGGAGGCCUUUGGUAUCCCUGGGAUUGGAAAGCGGAUGGCUGAGAAGAUUGUCGAGAUCCUGGAGAGUGGGCAUCUGCGGAAGCUGGACCACAUCAGCGAAAGCGUGCCUGUCUUAGAGCUCUUCUCCAACAUCUGGGGAGCUGGAACCAAGACUGCCCAGAUGUGGUACCAUCAGGGUUUCCGGAGCUUAGAAGACAUCCGAAACCAGGCCUGUCUGACUACCCAGCAGGCCAUUGGCCUGAAGCAUUAUGAUGACUUCCUAGACCGCAUGCCCAGGGAGGAGGCCGCAGAGAUUGAGCAGACAGUGAGCAGGUGUCCCAGGGCAGUGAGGACGGCCACUGCUACAGGGCCAGGGCCCGGCUCAAAGCCAGGAACUCCUGAUCUCUCAUGGGGGAGCCCAGCAGGCAGAGGAAGCUGUGGGCCGCCAGAGACUGGAACUAGUGGGCAAAGAGCACGUUGGCUUAGGCAGGGAAGGGCUGCAGCACUAGCUGUGUGGGGUAGGGGUCUCAGUGUCAGGCAGAGUUAGCCCUGGCUUGGGUGCUAGGGUGGUGUUAGGACUGGGUUAAUGUCAGGGCUUGAUCAGAGCUGGAUUAUGGUCAGAACUACUUGAAGAUAUUGGGAUUUGAACUGGGCUAGGGUAGGAUUGAUCAGGGCAGAGGUUCUUAACAUUUUUUGACCCACAAACUUCUUUGAGAACCUAAUGAAAAUCAUGGACUCUUUUCUGUCCACAAUCUGUAAAAAUGCACAAAGUUGUAUAUCUCUUUUCGGAAGUACAUACCUUCUGCAGCCCUCUGAAGGCUGGUUCAAGGUUUGGGUUAGAAUUGGUGUAAAGGCACAGUGCCAGUAGGAUUAGGUUUGAGGUUGGAGGAAAGCUAGAUCCAGAGUCAAGUUAAGGUUAGACCUGAAUUAGUAGAGUUUUCUUAGUGUUGGAUGCUUUUAGUUAAAAUUUAUGAUUGUCCUAGAAAUAAGGUUUGGCCAAGAUAGGGUUUGGUUUAGAGUUGGGUUAGGGGUUAAAUUCGUGUAAAACCUAGAUUAGAGGGAGACUAGGGUACAUUUAGGGUGAGAUGUAUCAUUUGUUCAGCUGGCAUUAAGGUUAGGGGCUGGUUUGCUCACUAUGGCUAUGAUUCUAAUAUGGCAGGACUCCCUGGAGACUGGCCCAGCUUAGCUGAAAUCACCCUCCAGCUCUUCUCCCAGUCACAUGACUAUGAGGCUGGUGUGGGAUGGACAGGCAAGCGCCUUUGUCCACCCAUCACUGGGCCUUAGUGCCCGUGAUGACCUGUCACUCAGCCAUGGUAUCUGGGCACAGACAAUGCCCCAGCGAGCCUCCAGCCCCAACCCACUGGAACAGAAGGGCCCACUCUCCCCAUUUAAGUUCUCCAGCUUUAGGAGGUUUUGAUGGGAUUAUUCAUCCUAGGCCUCCUCCCACACUCUCAAGAAGGGGGUUGAGGGGAUUAGCAAAGCCUGCCUGUCAAGAGAAUUGAAGUAUCCAAGGUCCCAGAAAUCUCAGUGUCCUGUGGUGGAGACUGGGAAGCUAUCCGCAUACGAAAGGCCUCAGUGUUUCUGGUGUGGAGACUAAUGGGCUUAACCUCCCUCAGCCCCAUCCACUCAGUGCACCAUGAUCCCUCUGCCUCAGCUCCCUCCACACCGAGCCCCAUUCCUUCAAGUAAGGAUGUGGCCAUUGCUCAGAUUUCCCUCCCUCUUUGCUCUCUCCUUUCCUUCCCUACACAUGCAAUUAUAUUUCUGGGUUCUGUCUCCCCAGAGGCCUGGACCAGGGGCACCCUGCCAACCACCUGUCAGGCUUCAAGCCCCAACUCACACACUCUGCAUUUAGCUCUGAAUCCAGAGAUACCUGGGGCUGCUGAGACCUGGCUGAGGGCUCCUUGGCACCUGGCCCUCUGUAUUCAGUGGAGCUUCACACACCUGGGUGUAUGGGUUGGGGCAGACCCCAGAGAAGGCCGCACCCAGUGGUGUGAGCGCGUUUUCUUCUCUUCUGUCCCAGCAAGGCACUGCUCCCCAGGAUGGAUGGAGCUCCUCUUCUGUUCCUUGAAGCUCUCUCUCUCAGGCUGGACCUUGCAUCCAGGGAUUGGCUUGGAACCCAAGGGGUGUGUGGGCUCCUGGGACAGGGAAGGCCCACAGCCCUCACCCUCCUCACUGUCCUCUCCCAGGUCCGGAAAGCAGCUCAG